rnacentral:ncRNA from 2 species
UAAACUCCACCCGGAGCAAGGCCAAAUAGGGGUUCACAUGGUACGGCCCGUACUGAACCCGGGUAGGCUGCUUGAGCCAGUGAGCGAUUGCUGGCCUAGAGGAAUGACUGUCCACGACAGAACCCGGCUUACCGGUCAACUCCCUCG